CUUUCCGGUCGCGCCGGGUCAGGUGAUGUGGCGGUCACGUGACGCUGGGGCGCGGGGGCGGAGGCCUCCUCGGAUCGGGGCGGGAGCAAGUCGGCCAGCUCCGAGCUGUUGGGGCGGAAUACCGGGUCCCUUUCUCAGUCCCCAGAACCUUUCCCUGGAAAGGGCCAGCGCCAACCCCCAGGUUAACUGAGAACAGAACCAAAGCAGUAGGAAGAGAUCAUCAUGGGAGUCCGGUCCAGCCUCUGGCCAGGAUGUGAUUUUUUUGGCUUCUAAUGCCCAGGCCGUCACCUUUCUCUCUUGCCUGCCACACUCGUGCAGCCCCACAGCGGAGGCUUCAGAAAACAUUGGGCUUUGGGGACUUCCCUGGUGGCGAAGUGGUUAAGAAUCCGCCUGCCAGUGCAGGGAACACAGGUUCGAGCCCUGGUCCGGGAAGAUCCCACAUGCCGCGGAGCAACUAAGCCCAUGCGCCACAACUACUGAGCCUGCGCUCUAGAGCCCGUGAGCCACAACUACUGAAGCCCACGCGCCUGGAGCCCAUGCUCUGCAACAAGAGAAGCCACCCAAUGAGAAGCCCGUGCACCGCAACGAAGAGUAGCCCCCGCUCACCGCAACUAGAGAAAGCCUGCACGCAGCAACGAAGACCCGAUGCAGCCAAAAAUAAAUAAAUAAAUUUUUAAAAGCCAACAAACAUUGGGCUUUGUACCCGCUACUCCUCACACUAGGUUCCCUGUCCAGGAGGCUGCUGAAAGGG